GAUGAACGCUGACAGAAUGCUUAACACAUGCAAGUCUACUUGAAUUUGGGUUUUUUAACUUAGAUUUGGGUGGCGGACGGGUGAGUAACGCGUAAAGAACUUGCCUCACAGUUAGGGACAACAUUUGGAAACGAAUGCUAAUACCUGAUAUUAUGAAUAUAUGGCAUCAUAUAAUUAUGAAAGCUAUAAGCGCUGUGAGAGAGCUUUGCGUCCCAUUAGCUAGUUGGAGAGGUAACGGCUCAACAAGGCGAUGAUGGGUAGCCGGCCUGAGAGGGUGAACGGCCACAAGGGGACUGAGACACGGCCCUUACUCCUACGGGAGGCAGCAGUGGGGAAUAUUGGACAAUGGACCAAGAGUCUGAUCCAGCAAUUCUGUGUGCACGAUGACGUUUUUCGGAAUGUAAAGUGCUUUCAGUUGGGAAGAAAAAAAUGACGGUACCAACAGAAGAAGUGACGGCUAAAUACGUG
rnacentral:rRNA from 1 species